UCAUAUUUUUAAUUAUUAAAACUUUAUAAUAUAAAAGUAGACUAUAUAACAUAUUUAUAUAAUUUAUAAUAAUUUUGUUGUUGUUCAGUUGUUUUAAUCAUGUUUAACUCUUUGUGACUCCCAUGUGGAAUUUUCUUGGCAGAGAUACUAGAGUGGCUUGCUAUUUUUUUCUUCAGCUCAUUUUACGGCUGAAAAAAUAAUGAAUUUUGACUAAAUGGCUUGCCCAGGGACACUCAACUAGUAAUUAUCUGAGGCCUGAAUUUGAACUCUAGGUCUUCCUGAUUUCAGGACCACCACUCUAUUAGCUGUGUCAUCUAGCUGUCCUAAUAGACAAUAAAUAAACAAUGAAAUAAACAAAUAAAUAAACCCUUACCUUGCAGAAUUGUUUAUGAGGCUCAAAUAUGACAAGUAUUUUGCAAUGUUUAAAACACUAUGUAAAUUUCAGUUAUUGUUAUGGCAAUCAUUUUUCCUCUUCUUUCUUCUCUCUCUCCUUUUUCUUCUCCCCUCUCCCCAUUUCACAGAUGAGAAAACUGAGGUACACAAAUGCUUUCUUUGUGGUCAGAAAGCUGGUUUGGAUCGGAUUAAGAACUGGAACCCAGGACUCUCAACCCUCAGGCCAAUACUGAUUCUACAACAUACUAUAUUGCUUUCGGUAACAACAUAUCAACUCACAUUUCUACAGCUUUUUAUAGUUUAUAAACACUUUCCCUACAAAUAGUCCUGUGGGAUAGGAGAUACAAAUAUUAUAAUACCCAUUUUACAGAUGAAGAAACUGAGCACCAGAGAGAUGAAAUACCUGGAUUACAAAGGUCUUCAGGAGACAUGGUAAAUGUGGACAAGAUGUUACUUAUUUGUUUGCUGGUCCCUAAAGAUCAGAAAGAAUAUAAGUUCUUUUCAUGGGACAAAUUCAUAGUACUUAAAAUCCUGUUCAUCUAUUUUAAAAUACUGUGAUGUUAGAUAAUAUAUUUGUUUAAUUUAAUCAAA